GAUCGAGUGAAUGCAUGGUGCCCUGGACAGGUAUAUAUAUAUAGGUAGGAGUUAUAGGAGAGGUAGGGCAUUUACACUGCGGACUUCGCUGCUGCCUUGUGGACCAGUCACUCUUCAAUUCGCUAGGAUCGUGUGUCCGUCGUUUCUGUGAGUGCAAACUAUUAGGUGAAAAACAACAACAACAACAACAACAACAACAACAACAACAACAACACCAACAACAACAUGUCGUACGUGUCUACACUCUGCUUGCUGCUGGCGGUCGCUGGCACGUCGCUGGCCGAGAGGACAAUAAUCAUGCUGAAGAAAGAAA